rnacentral:lncRNA from 1 species
GGCAUAUGGAGGUUCCCAGGCCAGAGCCACAGCAAUGUGGGAUCCAGCUGCGUCUGUGACCUACACCACAAUGUAUAUUGAUGGUUUUAUAGACCAUAACUUUUAAGUUAUAAUAUCAGCUUUUACAGAAUUAUUUAACCAUUGACUUCUGUGGAUCUGAAUUUAGAAGGAAUCUGAAACAAGUAUUUUUCUUUCAUGGAGACAAAAUAUAAAUUCAAAGAGAAUAAGAUAACAAAUGGGUGUUUUAGAGAUUCAUAACUGUGAAUUCAGUUUGUGUUUUAUGAGGUCUCUUAUAUAUGUAUUUAUUUGACAGAGAUUUUAUUCCUAACAGGUGUUAAAGAGCACUACUGAGCACCUCCAUAGAAUAUUUAAAUUUAUCUUCUACCACUUGCUUGCCUUUGCGUCUGUCAGUAACAGCAUUCUUACCUUCAUCUGGAGGAGAUGGUUUCAGGAGUUCAUCAGCAAGGUCAGAAGCAAUAGCCAUCUCUAAAAGAUCCAAUCAGGUCUGCAGUAGGAUCAGGGUGCAUUUUUGUUUACCCAUUUAAUCUUUAUUUUUCAAACGUGUUUUGAGUUUAUCACCUAUUUCAUAGUUGUAUAAUAUGGUUCAAAAGCUCUGGUUUUUCACACUGAAAAUUUUGAAACAUAAUAGUAUUGUGAUAUCUGUGCAAUAUUGUUUUGAAACAAGGGGACAGAUUCUUUUCCCAGGGUUAACAGGAACAUAUCCAUUUGGAUUUUUUUCUAUCACACUGAUUUUUAUAUUAAGCUGUUACCAUAUGCGGUUUCCACAUGGAAAAACCUAUGAACUACUGUUAAUAAUUGUUCAACACAUAUCCUGAACUUGUAUUGGAUAGUCAAAUAUCUUGAAAGUAAUUAGUUAAGUAUUUAGGACAUGGAUAGUUUCUGUAUUCUGCACAUUGUUUCUAAGCAGACUCUUUAGAUCAUCAAUUUAUCUAUUUCCUAUUAUCUAACUAUGUCAAGAGUAAGAAUGAAAUUUAUGUAAUUACAUAGUGUUUUUUAUAUAUAUACAGUUCUAUAUAUGGUCUCUCCAUGUAUACAUAUAUACAUAGAAAGAGACAGAGAUAAGUGAAAAAACAUUAAAAAAUAAAAAGCUGGAGUUCCCACAGUGGCGCAGUGGGAUUAACAGUGUCCCUGCAAUGCUGGGAUGCAGGUUUGAUCUUGGGCUUGGCACAGUGGAACCUGGCAUUGCUACAGCUGUGGCAAAGGUUGCAACUGUGGCUCAGAUCCGAUUACUGGCCCUGGAACUCCAUAUGCCACGGCAUGACCAAAUUAAAAAAAAAAAAUGAAAGCUUAUAGUAUGCUCUGUUUAGAUAGAAAGAUCUCUCUCUAUAUAUUGGUAGCUAUGUUGAUCUAUACCUAUAUUUCUAAAUCUAUUAUCUGCUUGUCUCCAUCUAUGUAAGAAAGAGGAUAGAGUAUAUGUUUUGUUUUUUACUUUUAAUAUCUUUUUUCAAUCAUGCUAAGAAAACAAAAACAUUGGUUUGGUUUUCCCCAAUGAGAUAACAAGAUUAAAAGAUUAUUGAGUCACAUUUUGUUUUUACUCUGCGGGAAAGUUUAGAUGUUCGGAUAGAUGUACACUAUUUCUAUUAAGGGUGAACUGUAAUGCAGAAAAUAAGGACUCUAAUUGGAUAUUUCAAGUCUUUUCAAAAUUUAUGGUGUUGAUCUGCCAGGAAGGUUAUACGUAUGUGGCCACCAUGCUAUAGCUUUUAUAAAGAUGCAGUUUGUCUCCAAACUAAAUUGUCAAUCAAGAUUAUAUCUUACAAGCCUCCAUAGACUUAGCAUAAAUUAUCUACAGAGUUAUUCCUAGAAUUCCUAAAGAUAUCCUUUGCCUUUGAAUAUUAUAUGAUGAAUUGUUACCUGUUUCUUAAUGUUUUUAGUUGUCUUACAGAUUUGUUAUCUGACUUAAAGAUAAAAAUUACUUAAAUAAAAAUUGUAAAGAUUUCAAAGAGGAUCAUUUCAAUAAUUAUCUUCAAAUCAUUAAAUCAUAGGAGCUCAAAACUGGAAAGAAAUAGCACCAAAUAUCUGACAAAACUUCCUACUUUUAAAGAUGACUGUGUAUACAUAUAUACAUGGAAAAGCCAUGACUUGGCUAAAAUCUCUCAAGUUUAGUCUUGUUCAUAACACAGACUAUCUUGCUGUAAUGCCACUGUUAUGAUGAAAAGUGUUUUUCUCGCAAUUAUGUAUUGGACUGAAAAAUGCCUACAGAACACAGGCAUACUACUAUUGGUGUUCUUGAUGGUGGUAGUGGUAUUGUUUUUUACUAUGAUUGUCAUUAUAUUAUUCUUAUCAAUAUCAUUGUUAUUAUUUUGUGAAUCCAGAUACUUAGAUAAUACUAGAAUGUGUGGUAGGAUUCAGGUUAAAAUAUCAAAUUUCAGGUCAAGAUAUCAACUUUGCCAUUAAUAAGCUACGUGACCCAGGCAAAUACUUGAAUCUUUAGGACAUCUCUUUUACAAAAACAGGCCAUGGUAAAAAGUUGAUAAUCUCUUGUAUUACAGGUUCUUAUAGUUCUACCAUAUAGAAGAAUCAUAAGAACCUAGGUAGAAUUUUAUAUAUAUGGUGAUGAAAAUAUCCCCAAUCUCCAUCAUUACGAGUAUUUGUAAUCUAAUACAGUGUCAGCUCUUUUAAACGCUUAGUAGUUUAGUGAUAUUUUCACGAGAAAAAAGAAAUAUCCAUAAUUUAUAAACAAAGUAAUUAAUAAGAAAAUUCAGCUUAACAAGGGAUACUUGGACAAAUAAUCUUAAUCACAAUGUGUUACAUUAGACCAAGACUGCAGGAACUCUGGCACUGUGAAGUACAAAAAUCAUGGACUUACUUAUUUCAUCUAUGAUGAAUAGGGUCUGCCCAUGGGCAAAGCACAUUUUACAUUUUAGAGAACUGAAUGGUUUUAGCUAUUCCAGAUGCACCAAGUGUAUUUGGUCAGGAAUAAAUUGUGGAUUCAGAGACAUCAUUCUGUUUUCAGACUUUCUAACUCUCCAAAGAGGUAUAGCAGUGAGAGCCUAUCAAGAUGGUUUCUUCUAUUCGAUGAUCAUAGUUCCUCAAAGGCAAAUAAAAUAGAUCCUGACCCAUAAUAUUUCAUUGGUCUCAAAAGCAUUCAAUUCUCAAAGGACACAGUAGGAUUCAUAGGACCAGCCAGUAAAAUUACCCAUAAAGACAGCACUGAAGAUUAUAGUAGAUAACCAACAAAAGACAAGAAUAAAGAUUUAGAAAAAGCCUAGAGGAGGGAAGUAACCUUUUAAUCAGUGUCUGAUGGAGCCUUGGAUUGCCUCUUGUUGUCUGUUGCUGACUGAUGAAAAGAAGAACUUACAUUCAGGAAAGGCUUAUAGACUGCAUAUUGUUUGAGUUUUAGAAAACAGAGCACUGAGUACUGAUAAGCUUUUCUACCUUCUGUUAGCUGUUUUGAGAAGGAAGGAAAGCCAAAUAUCUAUAAGUAUGAAUCUUGGCCCCAGAGAGUCAGCCCUAAAUCAGAAAACAAGAUAGUGCCAGCAUGCACGCAAUUCAGGAAAUUAAGCAUUCCAUUUACCCAUCGCUGAUUUAGCAUUUGAUUUUUAAAAAUUAAUGAAUGCAUUUUUCUAAAAAAAUUAAAAAAAAUAAUCUCUAGGAUGAGACCUUCCAAAGGGAAAUUUAUAAGUCUGAAAAUAGAUUCUCAGAAAGAAUAGGCCAGCUUUACCAUAAGAAUAAAAAUAAAAGUGUUAAAUAAAAAAGCUGUAUUCUGAAAAUAAAUAAAAUUUGAAAACCUUCAUGAGCCAAGUAUAGAGUUAGAGACUUAGCAUGAUGAUGAAAUAUCACAUAAAAAUGAUUGUACUUAUAAAUAAUUAGUUCCAUUUAGUAACUAGAUAAAAGACUAUGGGAUCAAAGUCAGCUAAAAAAAUUAUAGAUUUUAUUGAUGCUGAACUGGUGUUUAAGUUCUAAAUAUCUAUUAAUUGUAUAAUAGAUCCUUUCUUUCAUCCCAGAAAGUGUCUGAACCAAUGCUCUAGGAACAUUCCAAAUUCUAUCAGAGAAAGGAGUAGGUAAAAGACCGUGCACACAGCCUCUCUGCUCUUUUUAGAUCAUUAUGUAGCCAGCUGUUCCAUUGCAACCGAUUCUGUACUUUGAAUAGACUCACAACAUCUAUCAAAUCAGUGUUUACAUUUUCUUAAUAUUGUUAACUUAAGCAUUUUAUUGCCAUGCUCUGCAAACUGCCUGAGUGCACUAAAGAAAUCUGCUCAUGGGAAAGGUGGUUAAGCAAUAGGCAGACUACAUAAAAAGCCCAGCAUCUCUAGAGGUUAGCUGCAUGACACCUGGAAUGACACAAAGCCUCUGUUGCUUUUGUCCUCAGCCAACUGGGAAUCCCCUGUGGUCAGGAAAAUGUUGGUGAAAGCAAAUGCCCUUCCCUGCAAACAUCUGGAGCCCUGUGUCUGUGCAGCUUUAAAGAGAGGAAGACUGCAGAAUUGCUUAGAAUCCCAAUAAAGUGAUGAGAUGCAGAUUGCUGUUGUUUUCACACUUUUUUUUUUUUUUUUUUAAAUGCACACUGUGAAACAUGGCAUUCUUCCUUCCUAUUCAGGGCUUUGAACAGCAAAUGCCAGAAAUCAGAAGUUUUGUAACUAAUCCACUCUUGAGUUAUCCAACCACAAAAUUAUAUUUGAGCAAUUGCCUUGACAGCUAAAAUACAGAGCUUAUUUUUUCUCCUUGCUCAAAUAACUCAGAGACAGAAAAUCAGAUUAAAAAAAAAUCUACCGUUCCCUCUUUCUUGUGCCUAAUAAUAAUAGCAAUAAUAAUUUAAGCUCCAGCUAAGAUCUUUUAAUAUUUUCCACUUUAUCUCUUAUAAAGUACAAAAAAUAAGGAGAUAGACUAUCAACUAUGUCAUCUAUAUGAAAUUUGGAAAUCUGGCUGUUUGGGGUUGAAAUUUCUUGGUUUACCGUUAAGAUCUUUUUUCCUGUUAAGCUAGUGGAAUUCCAAAAUGCAGUCUCACUUUAGCGGCAUGAAUAUCAUUAUAUGUCCUUAACAAAAAUUAGAUACUUUAUGGGAAAAAACCAGCAUAAUAUGUAUCUAGGUAAAAAUUGGCACUAUAUUAUUUCUAGUGGUCAUAAAAUAAAAUCAAUUUGAAGAUCAGUCAAAUAUGUGCAAAAAUAGCAAAAAGCAUGAAGUAAAAGAUAUGGUAUAUAAUAAUAUAGUGCAUAUCAAAGUCAACUGGAAAGUUGAAUUCACUUAUUUAUAACAUUUAUAUAGGGAUAUUUUACCUAGUGGGCUUUUCUAAAAUAACAUGUGUCUUUCUAACUGAUAAUUAGUCAAUUUUAUUGAUAAAAAUUUAAUAAAUUAGUUGUAACCCAGUUUCAAUUGCUGAAACACUGCUCUUAAAUACAAUCGCAUAGGGUCAAAUAUAGUAUAGUUAAUGUAGUAAAGAGAUACAGAAAGUCACUGAAUAUUUGGCCGAGUGAAAAAUUUCAGAAGCCAUUGACUUAAAUUCAGAAUCGAACAAAUUUAAUGCUGUGCCUGAAUAUACUGAUCUAAUGUCAACUCAGGACUGCACAAUUCUAUUUUUCUUUGCAAUAAUUUUCUGAAAACAAAAUCUAGAAACUUUCUGGUAGUUUUGUAGUAUGAUCUCACUUGAAAGCCAAAGAAUUUUAUUUCCACUUUAUAAAAAUUGACAAUGUAAAUCUGAACCAGUUAUAUAGCUUUAAUCAUUCAAUUUCACAUACUAUAAAUUCUGAUCUUUGGAUGCUAAUAUGUGUAGAUGUGUGUAUUUGUAGACACAGUAAUAUGAUAGACAAUAGAGUUUAAAACAAGCAUAUAUGUUUCCAUAAUUUUAGUGAUCAUUAAGAAGUAAUUAGGGGACUUCAGAAAGAUCAUAUUAAUCAAAAUCCUCUAAUAUUACUUUCCCUUUAAUGUGAAUAAAAUGUAUUAAAUGUCCACUGUGUUCCCAAUUUUUUUUGUCACCAGUAAAUAUGCUCUGUUAUUGAGUUCCUGUUGUGGUUCAGUGGUUAAUGAAUCCGACUGGGAACCAUGAGGUUGUGGGUUCAAUCCCUGGCCUUGCUCAUGGGUUAAGGAUCCUGCUUUGCCAUGAGCUGUGGUCUAGGUUGCAGAUGCAGCUCGGAUCCUGUGUUGUUGUAACUCUGGCGUAGGCCAGUGGCUACAGCUCUGAUUAGACCCCUAUCAUGGAAAUCUCCAUAUGCCAUGGGAGAGGCCCUAGAAAAGGCAAAAAGCCAAAAAAAAAAAAAAA